GCUGCACCUCUCCUAGAUCCAUUUAAGAGCUGACUGCCACCAGUGAAGGGUUUCUUCUGGAAAUCCCUCCUCUGGAGUUUUAUGACAAGUCCAGGAUAUGGAGAGAUAUUUUGCUUCAAGGAAAGAAGAACCAGUAUGGCUCAAAUAUGGACAGAUCCAUCUUGCUUCCCUGAAACUCAAAACAAAGACAAAGAAGUCAGUGGAAGGGAAUGAAGAGACACUUCAGGAAUCCUAAGCCUACGCUUUGUGCGCUGUGGAGAGUUCAGAGAAGCAGUGUGCUUAUCCCUGUGAUGACAAAUGAAGAUUAAAUGAAGGUAUUCACCAGACAAUUCUUCCAGUGUUCCCUGAUCUGAAAUGCACACUGAACAUUGUGGAAGAUGGCUUAGCGCUGCUGGCUCCGUGGAAGGAAAGCCUGCAGCUCUGGCAGCAUUAAGGAGCUAAACAAAACCAAGUCUGGAACAUCCUCACUUUCAGGCCCAUGGUUCCAGAUUGGCUGAAAACUUGCAUGGAGCCUGUCCCCGUGCAGAGAUCUGUGUUAGCCAUGGAGAAAGAAGCACAUCUGGCACUGGGUGCAAUCUGGAGCUUCCCAGUAACUUCCAAGACUCUCAAACUUUUUGGUGCUCUUACAGCACUUAGAACUAUGGCACUCUGCACGAGCAGAAAACUUGUUUUAAUAAAAAAUAUGGAUGGAAUUGAAAUGGGAGAAAUUUAGCUGCUGUACAUAAGUGUCUGCAUGUGGCCUGGUAUUGUAAGAAGGAGACUCAAAUUCUGCUUUUUUAAGAUAUAUCUACAAUCUCUGUAGCCACGCUGUUUCAAGAGGAAGGACACCUGCCUAUGUACAACUUAGUGCAAAUCUUUCCCUCUUCCUUAGUGUCCAUGAGGUGCCGCAGGCCCAGGAAAUGGAAUACCUUCCAGUAGGUCACAACCACUCCUGAGUGAACAUCAGAAGAUGGCUUUGGUCAGCACCUGCCUCUGCCUGCAGCCUGCCAGAAUGACAGCACGAGAGCCAGACAUUUGCAGCACACGUCUCAAGGUGUUUCUGAGGAUCAGGUUUGGCCCAGGCAGCCUUGGGGACAUUUAUAACCCCUUGACCUCUUCUUCCUUUUUUAAGCUCUGUUAUUUCUACUGCAAACAAUCUCCUCUGUCCACUGAUGGAUAGACCCACCACUGAUGACCUUCUCUUCAUUGCCAAAGUAGAAAAAGGCAGAGGACUCAUUAAGCAGGAGAAAUUUGCACACACACUGCUUGUAGCAAUCAGCGUAUACCCCCAGAUAAAAUUACCACAGUCCACCUUCUCCCUCUGAAUGCACAAGGCCUUUGGAGGAGCAAGCAGCUCAAAGGGUGAUGGGUGAAGAAAUUGCACAAGGUGCAUGUGCUCUGGAGAGAACUAGCUCUUUCCAGAGCUGUCAUGAUUGUCUGAUAUACAAAACCCCACAGAAAAAAAAUCAUUACGGAGCUUUAAAAAUGUCUCUCCAUCUAUCUCUUUGUUAAUCUACUCUCCUUAGUACUGACUGCAUGUCCUUGAGGAUAUUAGCCAAAUUUAACCUGAAACAAGAUACCCGUCUUUUGGCAAGCACAAAGACUGAAAUUUAUGCUAUGACAAGAACCUGUGAAAAUUCUUGAAGAUGAUCUAUUUCCAGAAUAAAAAUCAGGUUUUGUUUAACCUUGUCAGAAGGUUUAUUUGAUUAAGAUUUACAUGAAUACACACUAUUCCUCGGCUCUCAAUUCAAAGUACAGUCUUAAUAAUAUAGAUCUUCAGUUUUUGCUGCAUCUCCAGUCAUAGAUACUGGAAAAUCUACUAUUGUAUGUACCAGGUUCUGAAACUGAAUCAUGCAAAACAAACAAAAAAAAACCCGAAAAAAUAAAAAAAAUUAAAAAAAAUAAAAAUUCUGCAUUGAAGCUGUGACUGGGAAGAGAUGCCUGCUGCUGCACUCGUACCAUCUUGAGUCACCUUCAUUGGAACUCUGUACAGAUAUUGUCAUCCUCCAGCCUGCAAAGCUGGGGAAGAAGUUCUGAAUUGGGAUUAGCAAACUAAAUAAGGUUACUUUUCUAGUGGUCUCAGCUUUAACUUCACUAUUCCUAUUCUAAAUCCUAUAAGACUUUUGGACUUUCUCAGCUUUGAUACCUCCAUCUAGAAAUACUGCCCUUUCUCACAGCAGCUUUGUAGGACUAAACAGGUUAACGCAAGCACAGCAUUUUUAAGAUAUGCAUUAUGCUCAACUUUAUUAUUAAAAUGUUAAAUGUUUGGUUUUCCUAA